rnacentral:lncRNA from 1 species
AGUCUGUGAGCUGGGAGCCUGUUGGCAGGUCCCUCUUUUUAUUUUCGCUGAGAGCUUUCUUUUACUAAAUGCCACCAUCCUUACCUUUCAAGGUGUCUGCGUGCCUAAUUUUUCCUGGUUGUUAGACAAGAACCCGGAUUUUAGUUGAACUCUGGAGCAAAAAUCCUGCAUCAUUUGUAGGUAAUGUUUGUUUUCUUUGGUUGCUUUUAUGACCUUCUCUUUAUUCCUAGUAUUUGGGCAUUUCACAAAAACAUUUAUAAAUCUGAAUUAAAAAACAAACUGACCUUGCCAAGGACCCUACUGAUCCCUUUUCAUAUAAUUCUAUCUGCUAGGUCUUGUGCUGCCUUCUAAGUUAGUUCAUCAGUUCUAUACUUCAGUAUUUAAUUCUAUAUUCAGCCAUGUUAUCAAAUGUUUAUUUCAACCUUUGAGUUUCUCAUUUGUAAUAGUAUUUUUUCAUUUUUAUGUUUUUAAAAGAGUUCUUUUCAUAUUUUACUAUUUUUGUUUAGUAACUUUCAGUACUUGUUGCGUAGAUUUUAUUUCAUCUUUAUGUUUUUGAGAUGUUUGCAUAACACAUUUAAAGACAAUUACAUAUUGUUGUAUGAUUUCCAUUUCCUUGGUCAAGAAUUCUCCCAUUUGUUGCAUCUCUGAAGAGUUUCCCAAGGUGGGUUAAUCUUGAAUAUGGUAAACUUGCUGCCCUCAGUUUUUUAGUUUUAAUACUUUAUCAGUUGUUUCUUGUUCUUUUUUUUUCUGGGCAUAUUAUUACCUCAUUUGAAAAUAAUGACAAUUUUGGCCUUUCUCUUCGAGAUUUUGUAACUCAUUUUCUUUUCUUUUCACAUAGAAUUUGAUAAGGCCUCCAGUACUUUGUGAUAUAGUAGUUGUGGGGAUGGUCCUUCUUGUCUUACUGCUGAUCUCAAGUUUAUGUUUGUAGCAAAUUUUUGCUACAUGACCAUUACAAGUUUAAGAGGUUACCAAGAGUUUUUAUUACAAAUACCUUAAAUCUUAGCAAAGACUAUAAAAACUGAGAUAAACAUGUUUUUCUUCUAAAUAGUAAUCAUUUAGACAAAUCACAAAUGUGAUAUCAGAUUAGUGCAUCCUACACUGUAUGGAAACUAUAAAUUCAUGAUUUUCAAAAAUUGUAGGUAAAUAUUUAUUUUUCAAAAUAAUUUAUCCAUCUUGCUUUACCAAAAAAGGCAAGGUCUUGUUUUUCUUUCCCUAUACAGUAGUAAUGGCUCUUUGGUGUAAAAACUUUAUAGGACCUAAAGUAAAAAAGAAGAUAAAAACCAGUUUGUCUUUCAAAGUCUUAAAAUAUUUCAUUAACCUCGUAGUGCCUGAUCUCUGUCACCAAGCAAAUAGUCUGAACUAUUAUUUCCAAGCUCAAUUCAAACAGGUAAAGUUUUACUACAAUUAUAUCUGGCCAUCACUACAGUGUUUUCUCCAAUCACUUCCAAAGCCUACCCCUUUUCUUUAUCAUACUUCCACCUACAUUGCAUAAUACAGAGCUUAGCUAGUGAGGUACAAGUGAUAAGGAUUAUCUCCCCAGAGUCUCCGGGCCUUGGUAAUUCCUAGACCACAGCACCAUGCAUUAGGUUAUAGUCACAGGCCUCUAUAUAGUCUUCCACAUAUCCCAUUACAUUUUAAAUCCUAUGCAUACCCUUUAUAUCCUGC